rnacentral:tRNA from 1 species
GCCUUCGUGGUGUAGUGGUCAUCACGCUCCAUGCACAAACCGAGAGGUCCGUGGUUCGAUUCGCGGCGAAGGCG